rnacentral:rRNA from 1 species
GACGAACGCUGGCGGCGUGCUUAACACAUGCAAGUCGAACGCUGAAGCUCAGCUUGCUGGGUGGAUGAGUGGCGAACGGGUGAGUAACACGUGAGUAACCUGCCCUCUUCUUUGGGAUAACGCCCGGAAACGGGUGCUAAUACUGGAUAUUCACUGAUUCUCGCAUGGGGGUUGGUGGAAAGGUUUUUUCUGGUGGGGGAUGGGCUCGCGGCCUAUCAGCUUGUUGGUGGGGUGAUGGCCUACCAAGGCUUUGACGGGUAGCCGGCCUGAGAGGGUGACCGGUCAGAUUGAGACUGAGAUACGGCCCAGACUCCUACGGGAGGCAGCAGUGGGGAAUAUUGCACAAUGGGCGAAAGCCUGAUGCAGCGACGCCGCGUGAGGGAUGGAGGCCUUCGGGUUGUAAACCUCUUUCGCUCAUGGUCAAGCCGCAGCUUGGGGUUGUGGUGAGGGUAGUGGGUAAAGAAGCGCCGGCUAACUACGUG